ACGUGUCGGUAGCAACUAGCUUUCAUGUGCAGUUGGUUGCCAAGAACCAAGAAGCAUGGUCGACGAGACCGAAUGAGACUACUAGAUGAAGACCGCUAAAACGCUGAAAGGAAAAGCUGAAAAAUUCUAGUGACAGCAAGAAUUGAGUGGAUCAAGCUUCAUCACGGGUAACUUCUGAAAACAACUUCAGUCAGAGAUUUUACAGCAAGGUUUUGGACUCAGUGGCAAUAUCAGUCAGCUGCACGCAGUUUAUGGAUCUGGUGUUUUCCUGAAAUUUAGAAGCAAGACCUGAUUUGGACUGCAAGAAGACUUCUUGAAAUGGUUUUACAGCCAGGUGAAAUCUCUUCUUUAUUGCUGUCUAACACAACACACAUGGUUUUUGGUUGUGACCAGCUGGUGAAAGGUGUCAUCAAAUUAGGUUCAGUUGUUGCCUGGAGUCUGUGAUGCCGGUGUUAUCUUGGAGUGUGUUGGUGUUGAGACAGAUAUUGUUCUGCUUAAUUGUUUAUGA